rnacentral:rRNA from 1 species
AGGGUUUGAUUCUGGCUCAGGAUGAACGCUAGCUACAGGCUUAACACAUGCAAGUCGAGGGGCAGCAUGAUUGAAGCUUGCUUCAAUCGAUGGCGACCGGCGCACGGGUGAGUAACACGUAUCCAACCUGCCGAUAACUCGGGGAUAGCCUUUCGAAAGAAAGAUUAAUACCCGAUAGCAUAGUUUCCCCGCAUGGGGUUACUAUUAAAGGAUUCCGGUUAUCGAUGGGGAUGCGUUCCAUUAGGCAGUUGGCGGGGUAACGGCCCACCAAACCAACGAUGGAUAGGGGUUCUGAGAGGAAGGUCCCCCACAUUGGAACUGAGACACGGUCCAA